UGAAACUGACGUAUCACAUUCUUAUUUCAUUUGCAGGCUAACAUCCAGUGUACUUCCAGCUGUAAAUGUAUUGGCUGUUUGAACCAUACAAACAACUCUCAAGUGGAUGCCAAGGGGGACGGGGGCAAAGUGAAGAACAGAUGUUCUCAGUUGGUGUUGACCUCUGAACGGGUGGAGACUGUAUGUGGAUGUUUGCUGACUAAGGCAAGGGAGGCUGAGAUGGAGAACAAGUCACACACCAUGGCUCAGCAUUUGGUCCUGGUGGAGUUCGGACAUCAUCUCUCAGAAACUGUCAAAGCCAUGUUCAACUACUGCCCACAGUAACACUUUCCCCAUGAAGGACCAGAAAAUCUCUGGAGCUCUGUGGUGAACUGAAAAGCUGGACAACAUCUGCACUAGCUACACAAUUAGCAUGUUUGAAUGUUCUACAGACUGUUCUGUUGUUUUAAAAUGUUUCCUGGCAUUUUGUGAAACUUUUAUGAAUUCUUUAGUUUGUUACAUAACCCAAUAUAGUUUCUUUCCCAUUUAUUUGUAAUUUGUCGUAGUUGUAUUUAUAACAAAAACAAUAUGUAUGGUUCCAUUUAAUGGAGCAGCACUUAGCAUUUAUUAGCAUAACACAGUUAACCAAUGUAGCAUUGUACUAAUCUUAAUUGUUCAGUUCACUUUUGUCAUGUAAACACUGCAACUUUUUGAAUUUUUAAAUUCUAUUUUUAGUUUUGUCUUAAUAAUUGACAAUAUCAGGCAAAUUAAAUAAAAUACUACACAUUGCUUUUCGACCAUUUGAAA